AGGCCAUUACAACUACUUUAGAAUUUUUCUUGCAGAUUUUCUAACUUUGGUCAGAAAACCCCA
ensembl:snRNA Gm27579 predicted gene, 27579